AGGACGAACGCUGGCGGCGUGCUUAACACAUGCAAGUCGAGCGGAAAGGCCCUUCGGGGUACUCGAGCGGCGAACGGGUGAGUAACACGUGAGCAACCUGCCCUUAGCUUCGGGAUAGCUCCGGGAAACCGGAAUUAAUACCGGAUAUGACUAUGGCCGACAUCAGCCAUGGUGGAAAGUUUUUCGGCUAGGGAUGGACUCGCGGCCUAUCAGCUAGUUGGUGAGGUAACGGCUCACCAAGGCGACGACGGGUAGCCGGCCUGAGAGGGCGACCGGCCACACUGGGACUGAGACACGGCCCAGACUCCUACGGGAGGCAGCAGUGGGGAAUAUUGCGCAAUGGGCGAAAGCCUGACGCAGCGACGCCGCGUGGGGGAUGAAUGCCUUCGGUUGUAAACCCUUUCAGCAGGACGAGCGAAGUGACGGUACUGCAGAGAGCGCGCUACUACGUGCCAGCAGCCGC
rnacentral:rRNA from 1 species